rnacentral:rRNA from 1 species
AUGGUGGCAGCGAAGAUCUGGUGGGGUGAGCUCGACGAAGAUGAUUGGGGCGAGCUCAACUUCCUGCUCCUGCCGCGGGUGGUCAUCGGGCCCAACGAGAACGGCUUCAAGAAGACGAUAGAGUACCACUUCGAUGGCGAGGACAACAAGGUCAAGGUCACCACCACCUCCCGCAUCCGCAAGCUCGCCCUCGCGCGCCUCUCCAAGGUGGUCGUCGAGCGCCGAUCUCAUGCUAAGGAUGGCAAUGGCGGCGACGAUGCCUCCGAGCGCCUCAUCAUAGUCUCCACCGAGGAGGUCCUCCUUGAGCACCCACGCGCCCCAGCUACACUUCAUGAUGAAUCUGAUGACGCAAAUUUUGUAUUGUGGAUGUCGAUAAAUUUUUCCUUAAACCUGUCAAACAUAAACAUGUUUGACUUUUUGAACAAAAUAUUCACUACGAUAUAUACAACAAAUCUAACCUUACAUGGUGACACAAAUUUUGUAUUGUGGGCUUCUGGUGAUCCACUGGCAUUGGCGAGCAAGGGAGGUGCCGUUCUCAUGGUCUGCAGAACCUGUGGCAAGAAGGAUGACCACUCGACCUCAAAGUGCCCCUACAAGGAUCUCGCUCCACCGGCCGAUACUCUAGACAGGCCUCCUAGGAGUACAUCUGAUGGGCCUGCAGCAUCGAGCGGUCCUGCGAAGAGCUCGUACGUUGCUCCGAGGUUAAGGAUUGGCGCUUUUCAUACUGAUGCUGGACACGACAUGAGCGCGCAGGAACAACGGGAACUCCGUCCGUGUUACCAAUCUGUCCGAGGACACCCGCGAACCCGACCUUCUCGAGCUAUUCCGCGCGUUUGGCCCGGUCAGCGCCGUGUCUAUGUUGCGGUGGACCUGAAGACGGGAUCAAGUAGGGGCUUUGGCUUUGUCAACUUUGUCCACAGGGAAGAUGCUGAGAAUGCCAUCAGCAAGCUCAAUGGGUAUGGUUAUGACAACCUCAUCCUCCAUGUUUAG